rnacentral:rRNA from 1 species
GACAGAGGAUGCAAGCGUUAUCCGGAAUGAUUGGGCGUAAAGCGUCUGUAGGUGGCUUUUCAAGUCCGCCGUCAAAUCCCAGGGCUCAACCCUGGACAGGCGGUGGAAACUGCCAAGCUGGAGUGCGGUAGGGGCAGAGGGAAUUUCCGGUGUAGCGGUGAAAUGCGUAGAGAUCGGGAAGAACACCAACGGCGAAAGCACUCUGCUGGGCCGACACUGACACUGAGAGACGAAAGCUAGGGGAGCGAAUGGG